CUAACAAAUAAGUGUCAGGAAGCCAGAUUUGUAGAUACGGUGAGCAUGCUUAACUAGUAUUAAGAAGCCUAAAGUAUCUCUAGAGGCAUCCACUUUAGUAAAUAG
rnacentral:sRNA from 1 species